CAGUAGCCGCGUUAAUACGUAGGGUGCAAGCGUUAAUCGGAAUUACUGGGCGUAAAGCGUGCGCAGGCGGUUAUAUAAGACAGAUGUGAAAUCCCCGGGCUCAACCUGGGAACUGCAUUUGUGACUGUAUAGCUAGAGUACGGCAGAGGGGGAUGGAAUUCCGCGUGUAGCAGUGAAAUGCGUAGAUAUGCGGAGGAACACCGAUGGCGAAGGCAAUCCCCUGGGCCUGUACUGACGCUCAUGCACGAAAGCGUGGGGAGCAAACAGGAUUAGAUACCCCAGUAGUCCCUGUCUCUUAUAC
rnacentral:rRNA from 1 species